rnacentral:sRNA from 1 species
GCCAGGUGUGGUAGCGCAUGCCUAUAAUCCCAGCAACUCAGGAGGCUGAGGCAGGAGGAUCUCAAAUUCGAGGCCAGCCUCAGCAACUUAGUGAGACUCUGUCUCAA